rnacentral:rRNA from 1 species
UACGAAGGGGGCUAGCGUUGCUCGGAAUCACUGGGCGUAAAGCGCACGUAGGCGGAUUGCUAAGUCAGGGGUGAGAUCCUGGAGCUCAACUCCAGAACUGCCUUUGAUACUGGCGACCUUGAGUCCGGGAGAGGUGAGUGGAACUGCGAGUGUAGAGGUGAAAUUCGUAGAUAUUCGCAAGAACACCAGUGGCGAAGGCGGCUCACUGGCCCGGUACUGACGCUGAGGUGCGAAAGCGUGGGGAGCAAACAGG